rnacentral:lncRNA from 1 species
GAAAAAGAUUGAUUAUUUUCAAGAAUAAAGUUGUUCUGCAAUGGCUCUUUUGAACAAGAGGCUGUCAAGGUUUUCCUUGCGUGAGAGUCCGGAAUCUUGAUCCUCCAUAUCUAGACACUUGAUUGAAUUUUCGGCGGGAUCUUGAUUUAUUUGAUUUCGUUAGUUUAGCCUUGAUUGAUCCUGUAAGUAUCCUCUGAUUGAUUUCUUCUUCCUUUAAUCGCGUCUCUUUUCCUUGAUGUCCUCUGAUAUGUUCCGUCAAUCUUGUAUAUCAAUCCAUAUAUUCCUUGAUCAUUGCUGAUUGAUUUCGCCAAUCUUGAAAGCUAUUCAAGAGUUCCUAUACAAAGAGCAAAUAUAUUAUUUUCAUCAUUAAAAUUAGAUCUAACAAUCUCCUCCUUUUUGAUAAUGACAAAAUAAUAUAUGUAUAAACAUCAGUUGACUUUCAUGUAUGCUCCUCCUCAAUAGGAGCAGUUAACUCUGUCUUGUACUAAGUAGCUUGAGGCGCUCCCCCUCAAUAAGAGUAGUUAACUCUCUCUUAUAGUAAGUAGCUUGAGGCGCAUGUAGCCUGUCACGACCCAAACCGAUGAGCCGCGACGGGCAUCUAGUACCUUACUCAAUCGAGUACUAACAUAACAUAUAUUUCUUAUUACAUCAUCAUGUACACGUGACAUACGGGCCUAAUAGGACAACAUAAUUAUUUAUAAACUCAAAAUAUAGGCCGACAAGGUCGUACAAUCUUUCACGUACACGCCAUAUGUCUACAAGCCUCUAAGAGUACAUAAAUAUCAUAAAGGUCGGGACAAAGUCCCGCCAUACCAAACAAUACACGUCUAAAUCAUACUAACCAAACAAGCAACUCC